rnacentral:rRNA from 1 species
UACGUAGGCAGCAAGCGUUGUUCGGAGUUACUGGGCGUAAAGGGUGCGUAGGCGGCUUCUUAAGUCUGGUGUGAAAUCUCCCGGCUCAACUGGGAGGGUGCGCCGGAUACUGAGGGGCUAGAGUGUGGGAGAGGAAAGUGGAAUUCCUGGUGUAGCGGUGAAAUGCGCAGAUAUCAGGAGGAACACCAGCGGCGAAGGCGGCGCUCUGGGCCGGUACUGACGCUGAGGAGCGAAAGCGUGGGUAGCAAACAGG